AGAGUUUGAUCAUGGCUCAGAACGUACGCUGGCGGCACGCCUAACACAUGCAAGUCGAACGAAGUAGCAAUACUUAGUGGCAGACGGGUGAGUAACAUGUAGGUAUCUACCCUUUGGCCUGGAAUAACACGAGGAAACUUGUGCUAAUACCGGAUAAGUCUUUACGGAGAAAGCUUUAUGCACCAUUGGAUGAGCCUGCACUUGAUUAGUUUGUUGGUGGGGUAAUGGCCUACCAAGACUGUGAUCAAUAGCUGAUUUGAGAGGAUGAUCAGCCACAUUGGGACUGAGACACGGCCCAAACUCCUACGGGAGGCAGCAGUGGGGAAUCUUGCACAAUGGAGGAAACUCUGAUGCAGCGAUGCCGCGUGAGUGAAGAAGGCCUUUGGGUUGUAAAGCUCUUUCGUCGGGGAAGAAAAUGACUGUACCCGAAUAAGAAGGUCCGGCUAACUUCGUGCCAGCAGCCGCGGUAAUACGAAGGGACCUAGCGUAGUUCGGAAUUACUGGGCUUAAAGAGUUCGUAGGUGGUUGAAAAAGUUGGUGGUGAAAUCCCAGAGCUUAACUCUGGAACUGCCAUCAAAACUUUUCAGCUAGAGUAUGAUAGAGGAAAGCAGAAUUUCUAGUGUAGAGGUGAAAUUCGUAGAUAUUAGAAAGAAUACCAAUUGCGAAGGCAGCUUUCUGGAUCAUUACUGACACUGAGGAACGAAAGCAUGGGUAGCGAAGAGGAUUAGAUACCCUCGUAGUCCAUGCCGUAAACGAUGUGUGUUAGACGUUGGAAAUUUAUUUUCAGUGUCGCAGCGAAAGCAAUAAACACACCGCCUGGGGAGUACGACCGCAAGGUUAAAACUCAAAUGAAUUGACGGGGACCCGCACAAGUAGUGGAGCAUGUGGUUUAAUUCGAAGAUACGCGCAGAACCUUACCAACACUUGACAUGUUCGUCGCGACUCCAAGAGAUUGGAGUUUUCGGUUCGGCCGGACGAAACACAGGUGCUGCAUGGCUGUCGUCAGCUCGUGUCGUGAGAUGUUGGGUUAAGUCCCGCAACGAGCGCAACCCUCACUUUUAGUUGCCAUCAUUUAGUUGGGCACUCUGAAAGAACUGCCAGUGAUAAGCUGGAGGAAGGUGGGGAUGACGUCAAGUCCUCAUGGCCCUUACGUGUUGGGCUACACACGUGCUACAAUGGUAUCUACAACAGGAAGCAAAACGGCGACGUUAAGCAAAUCCUUAAAAGAUACCUCAGUUCGGAUUGCACUCUGCAACUCGAGUGCAUGAAGCUGGAAUUACUAGUAAUCGUGGAUCAGCGUGCCACGGUGAAUGCGUUCCCGGGUCUUGUACACACCGCCCGUCACACCAUGGGAGUUGGUUCUACCUUAAGGCAAGGUUUAAAACCCUUGACCACGGUAUAGUCAGCGACUGGGGUGAAGUCGUAACAAGGUAACCGUA
rnacentral:rRNA from 1 species